AUACGGAGGAUCCGAGCGUUAUCCGGAUUUAUUGGGUUUAAAGGGUGCGCAGGCGGCCAUUUAAGUCAGCGGUUAAAUCGUGGGGCUCAACCCCAUUCUGCCGUUGAUACUGGGUGGCUUGAUUGCGGUCGAGGUUGGCGGAAUUCGUUGUGUAGCGGUGAAAUGCAUAGAUAUGACGAAGAACACCGAUUGCGUAGGCAGCUAACCAGAUCGCAAAUGACGCUCAUGCACGAAAGUGCGAGGAUCGAACAGGAUUAGAUACCCUGGUAGUCCGCACAGUAAACGAUGAAUACUUGUUUUCGGCGAUAUAAUGUCGGAGGCAAAGCGAAAGCGAUAAGUAUUCCACCUGGGGAGUACGCCGGCAACGGUGAAACUCAAAUGAAUUGACGGGG
rnacentral:rRNA from 1 species